CCAGACUCCUACGGGAGGCAGCAGUGGGGAAUAUUGGGCAAUGGGCGCAAGCCUGACCCAGCAACGCCGCGUGAAGGAAGAAGGCUUUCGGGUUGUAAACUUCUUUUGUCAGGGACGAAGCAAGUGACGGUACCUGACGAAUAAGCCACGACUAACUACGUGCCAGCAGCCGCGGUAAUACGUAGGUGGCAAGCGUUAUCCGGAUUUACUGGGUGUAAAGGGCGUGUAGGCGGGACUGCAAGCCAGAUGUGAAAACCACGGGCUCAACCUGUGGCCUGCAUUUGAAACUGUAGUUCUUGAGUACUGGAGAGGCAGACGGAAUUCCUAGUGUAGCGGUGAAAUGCGUAGAUAUUAGGAGGAACACCAGUGGCGAAGGCGGUCUGCUGGACAGCAACUGACGCUGAGGCGCGAAAGCGUGGGGAGCAAACAGGAUUAGAUACCCGUGUA
rnacentral:rRNA from 1 species